rnacentral:lncRNA from 1 species
GACCCCUAGCCUGGGAACUUUCAUGUGCCACAGGUGCAGUUCUAAAAAAAAAAAUAAUAAUAAAGCUAUUAUGANAAUCCCCAUGCUGGAUCACUCCUCUCUGCUGUGCCCUGUGUGGGCCCUCACCUCAGCUUUGCAGUACUGACCACCUGCUUUGUGUGGGUUUCCUGGUCUGCCACUGGAGGCUGAAACCCCGUGCUAAGAAGUGGUUAAAUGAAUGAGUGACAUGAAUUCCAAUGAAUAAUAAUAUCAGUGUGCCUACCAUCUCUUGUGCCCUCGGGGCCAUGGGAGCUGCUUGCGUGCAUGCCUGAGAGUCCUUCUUGCCGUGGGAACCGAGGAAUCACUCAGGCCCCAGGCUGCCAGGUGGGGAAACUGAGGCCCAGACAGAGUGCAUCUUGUCCAGAGGAUCUGGUCAGCAGCUCACCAGGCGUGAACCCUCUGAGUCACCCUGCUGGGUGUGGAGGACAGGCACAAUGGAAGAAGAGCCCCUCUCCCUCCACAUCAGAAGGCUACUAGUCUGAUGGUGGAGGCUCUGGACCCACCAGGAGUGAAGGUGGAAACACUGGAGGUCAAAUUAGGGAGUGUGUGUCUGAGCUGAAAAGGGGGCCUCUGCCACCAUGGAAGUGCUCCACCCCCAAGGCUAUUGUGAACAAAGGGUAAUCCAAGCACUUCUGGGGAGCUCACCUUUCCCUAGCUGUGGAUGAACAAAUCAGAACAUUGUGAGAAGUCAGAUGUCUUCUUCCUUUUGAGGACUGCACACAAGGGAUCCCCCUUCACCCACCUGGGUUUGGCCCACAAGGCUGGGUCCCUUCCUCCAUGUUCCCUUCACGUGUUCCAAGAUUUGGAUCAUACAGUAAAGGAGAGAUGAAAGAGCAGUGAAAGAUGUACCCAUCCAUGACAGAGGAAACUGACCUGGGCUUGGUCCCAGGACUUGCUGACACAUGCUGUAACGUGGAUGAACCUUGAAAAUGUCAUGUUAGGUGAAGAAGCCAGUCAUAAAAGACCUCUUAGAGGUCAGAGUUCCUGUCGUGGCUCAGUGGUUAACGAAUCCAACUAGGAACCACGAGGUUGCGAGUUUGAUCCCCGGCCUUGCUCAGUGGGUUAAGGAUCCAGUGUUGCCGUGAGCUGUGGUGUAGGUCACAGACGCGGCUCGGAUCCUGAGUUGCUGUGGCUGUGGUGUAGGCCAGUGGCUACAGCUCCAAAUACACCUCUAGCCUGGGAACUUCCAUAUGCCGUGGGUGCAGCCCUAGAAAAAGGC